rnacentral:misc_RNA from 1 species
GAUGAAGAACGUAGUGAACGUGCGAAACGUAAUGUGAAUUGCAGAAUUCAGUGAAUCAUCGAAUCUUUGAACGCACCUUGCGCCCUUUGGACAUUCCGAAGGGCAUGCCUGUUUGAGUAUCAUGAACACCUCAACUCUCACGGCUUGUCCGUGAUGAGCUUGGACUUUGGGGGUCUUGCCGGCCUGUGGUCGGCUCCUCUCAAAUGGAUCAGCUUGCCAGUGUUUGGUGGCAUCACAGGUGUGAUAACUAUCUGCGCUUGUGGUUUUCCAUCAGAUAACCUUCAGUGAUAUGGAGGUUCGCUGGAGCUCACAAAUGUCUCUCCUUAGUGAGGACAGCUCUUUGAACGUUUGAUCUCAAAUCAGGUAGGACUACCCGCUGAACUUAAGCAUAUCAAUAAGCGGAGGA